GCGCACCAGUCGAGAAAACUUCACACUGUGCGAAAGCACGGUGAGGGAAUCCCAAGUGCUUGCACGUAAGUGUAAGCUGUUUCUCUGUCUAAAACGCAGAGAGAGUAAGGGCUGGGUAAGACGGGUGCCAGCCGCCGCGGUAAUACCUGCAGCUCAAGUGGUGACCGUUAUUAUUGGGCCUAAAACGUCCGUAGCCGGUUUAAUAAAUGCCUGGGUAAAUUGUGUAGCUUAACUAUACGAAUUCCGGGUAGACUGUUAAACUUGAGACCGGGAGAAGUUAGAGGUACUCCUGGGGUAGAGGUGAAAUUCUGUAAUCCUAGGGGGACCACCAGUGGCGAAGGCGUCUAACUAGAACGGGUCUGACGGUGAGGGACGAAGCCCUGGGGCGCAAAC
rnacentral:rRNA from 1 species